rnacentral:rRNA from 1 species
GACGAACGCUGGCGGCGUGCUUAACACAUGCAAGUCGAACGGAAAGGCCCUGCUUUUGUGGGGUGCUCGAGUGGCGAACGGGUGAGUAACACGUGAGUAACCUGCCCUUGACUUUGGGAUAACUUCAGGAAACUGGGGCUAAUACCGGAUAGGAGCUCCUGCUGCAUGGUGUGGGUUGGAAAGUUUCGGCGGUUGGGGAUGGACUCGCGGCUUAUCAGCUUGUUGGUGGGGUAGUGGCUUACCAAGGCUUUGACGGGUAGCCGGCCUGAGAGGGUGACCGGCCACAUUGGGACUGAGAUACGGCACAGACACCUACGGGAGGAAGCAGUGGGGAAUAUUGCACGAUGGGCGGAAGCCUGAUGCAGCAACGCCGCGUGCGGGAUAACGGCCUUAGGGUUGUAAACCGCUUUCGCCUGUGACGAAGCGUGAGUGACGGUAAUGGGUACAGAAGCACCGGCUAACUACGUG